UUGCACCGCUGCCAGUUUCGU
rnacentral:misc_RNA from 1 species